UGUGUAUACUCAGUGUGUAUGUAUGUGUGCAUGUGUUCAUGUGUGUUUGUGUGUGUGUGUGUAUGUCAUGGCGCAUGUGGAAGGCCAGAGUACAUCCGGAGGGAGCUGUUUCUCUCCUUUUACCACGUGGCUCCUGGGAAUCGAACUGAUAAAGGCAGUAAGUUCCUUUAUCCUCUGAGCCAUCUUGCUGACCCACGAGUGCUUACUUCAUAAGUUAAAGGUACAAACCAUUUCCCAGGAUUCAACACAUUAGUUCUUUUAUUAUGAAAUCAGCUUUGACUUUGUGCCGCAAGCCCCCCCUCUGCAACCAUUUAAAAAAAUAGUUGGGGGUGCUUUUAAUCCAAGCAAUUGGUGGGGGGGGUGGAUAUAGGCAGAUCUCUGUGAGUACAAGGCCAGCCAAGGCUACAUAGGUAGACCCUCUCUUGAAAAUAAAUUAAAAUAUACUAUUUUAAUUAAUUUUUUGAGAAUUUCAUACAUUUGAUCUCAUUUACCCUCCACUUCUAACCCUAAUCCUCAGGUUCAUUCUCCAUGAACGCCUUUGACAUACCCUGCAGCCUGCAUGGUUUCACCCCGUCACCCACACUGUACCCUGUCCUUUCCACACCAGACAUGUUGGGAGUGCCCUGCCCAGAAAACCUCUUUCCAGGCCUUGGACUCUUGGUUUUUCCGUUUUCUUCGUUGUUCCCUGUCUUUGAGGAAGAUUGGAGGACCCAGGAUGCUAACUGGGUCAGCACAGUCCACUGGGCCAUCUCCCUGGCCUUAGUCUCAGAUCUUUCUAGGUCCCUCCAUAUCUGAUUCAUGGCUCCUCAGAAGUAGGCAGGAGAGGAGUGAGCAGAACUUGGGGUCCAGGCCGGAAGCAGAGGAGAAGCGUGGCCGUACCCUCCUGGCGCUGAUCUCCACACCACGUUUCUUUCACAUUUGGUGUUGUGUGGCUCUUCUGAACGUGAUGUCCACCGCCAGAAAGCAGGAUGGGCAGUGUCAGCGGGGAACUGUCGUUGCACUGAAGCCUCGUCACCUGUUUAAUAAGAAUUGAGUGUUGGUCUGGAGGUGUCGGCCACAGGAUAGAGCCUUGCCUAGUGUAUGUGAGGCCCUGAAAGUCCAGCCUGGAAAUAAAGCGCAGUGGUGUUUAACAUGCGUCUGUCAGCUCUUCUUUCUCACAUACUGAUACCACUCUGACUAAAACUGAUGGGA
rnacentral:lncRNA from 1 species